GUUCAGGCCAUUAAGUUUAUUUAGAAAGCAAUUUCAGAACUGUUAGAACAAAAUUGGGAAAAUAUACUGACAAAAGUUUAAGAAUGUAAGCCCUGAAAGACAGAUUAAGUCACUAAAAAAACAACCUCUUCAGGCCUUUAUAUUGGCUAAGGUUGUUGUCUUCCACAGCAGCCCUGGCAUGGCAUCCAGUUCUAGAUACUGUGGUUUAAAUGAAUGUAAAUUGAAUACAGUUGAAAUGUCUUCCAUAUGAUUCUGCACAUCCUUGCAGCCUAGGAGAAAGCCAGCAAGGAGGGGACCAAAGGGAGGCAGGAGCAGGAGCAGUGGAAGGUGGUAAGAGGAUGUGAGGUGAUGGCAGACCCCAAGUGAGAGGUACCCCCACGCAGACUGGAGCAAUUACUGGUGCUAUGUGUAGGCAUCUCCCAACAGGCCUGGGUUGAGGAGAUUGUCCAGCACAGUGCAUUCGAGCAAGUGCCAGGAGCCACAGUCCUGUUUCCCGAUGGAGCUGUGGUCUGCUCACUACAUCAGCUCCUUGUACUGAGAACUAUGGUGGCCAUGUCACAACAGACAGCAAAUCAGUAGUGGCCACAUCACAGUGGGGUCUCUGACAUGGAUGGGACAGUAUAAAAAGGGCUGUGGUCUAGAGCAGGACCUGGUUUGGGAGGCAACCCAAAACAUACGUUGGUCUUUUCCCUCCUCAGUGUCUUGCUGGAGAUUUUGAAAACCUUACAUGAAACAGCAUUGAAUCAAGGAAAAAGAAAGGUGUAUGGUACCUGCCUGCAGACUGCAAAAGCCUUACAGAGUCCAAAAUUAGCAGUUCUAUGUGUAGUUGAGAGACAUUCUGUAAUCAGAAGAGGAAAGGUGGUGGAGGAGGAAAGCCAUUGCAGGAAUUGCAGCUCCUGGUGUAGCUGUGGUCACAGGGCCUUUCACAGAGACACAGAGAAAGUGAGGAAUCAGUCCUUCUCUCCCUGCACUUCUAGCAGUCAUGGGCACUGGAGAGCACAGCGACAUGUAACACCUAUAGUAGGAGUCAUUUUCAUUCUUCCUGGAUCCUAUGCUGCUCAAGAGGAAGUGGGAGGCAUUCUAAGACUCCUAAGACCCCUUAAGAAUGCGACAAGGAGACAAGAAGUUUUAAGGACAAAUUAGUAUGUUUAAUUCUGCACUGAAGGGAACAAUAUUCCUAGCCCCAUGGAUGAUCAAGAUUAUUUCCCAGAUCACACAAGAAUCAAGCCUGGGUGAGAUAAUGCAAUUCCUAGUAGCAAGUUCUUCCUUGUAUCACUUCCAAGGAAACACGAUUCAGCAUUGUGCUCAAGUGGGGGGCAUAGAGAAAAAAAUAAAACAAAACAAAAAAAACA
ensembl:lncRNA